rnacentral:rRNA from 1 species
GACGAACGCUGGCGGCGUGCUUAACACAUGCAAGUCGAACGGAAAGGCCCUGCUUUUGUGGGGUGCUCGUUUGGCGAACGGGUGAGUAACACGCGAGUAUACUGCCCUUGUCUUUGGGAUAAAUUCUGGGAAAUGGGGCUCAUAUCGGAUAGGAGAUCCUGCUGCAUGGGGGGGGUUGGAAAGUUUCGGCGGUUGUGGAUGGUCUGGCGGCUUAUCAGCUAGUUUGGGGGGUAGGUGCGUACCAGGGCUUUGACGGGUAGGCGGCCUGGGAGGGGGACCGGCGUCAAGGGGACUGAGGUAGGCACCAGACGCCAAUGGGAGGCAACGGGGGGGAAUAUUGCGGAGUGGGGGGAAGCCAGAUGCAGCGACGCCGCGAGCGGGAUGACGGGUUACGGGUUGUAAACCGCUUUGGACGGAGACGAAGCGGGAGUGACGGUAAUGGGUAAGAAAGCAACGGCUAACUACGUG